GUGCUUGCUUCGGCAGCACAUAUACUAAAAUUGGAAUGAUACAGAGAAGAUUAGCAUGGCCCCUGCACGAGGAUGACACACAAAUUCGUGAAGCGUUCCAUAUUUUU
ensembl:snRNA U6 U6 spliceosomal RNA